rnacentral:rRNA from 1 species
AAUGAACGUUGGCGGCGUGGAUUAGGCAUGCAAGUCGAACGGGCCGCAAGGCCAGUGGCGGAAGGGUGAGUAAUGCGACGGUAACCAACCCCGGAAAUGGGUAUAGCCGCGGGAAACUGCGGGUAAUCCCCAGCGACGUGUCGGGUCGGCAUCGACCUGACACCAAAGCUCCGGCGUUCCGGGACGGGCCGUUGUGGUAUUAGCUAGUUGGCGGGGUAACGGCCCACCAAGGCUGCGAUGCCUACCGGGCGUGCGAGCGUGGCCCGGCACACCGGGACUGAGACACUGCCCAGACUCCUACGGGAGGCUGCAGUCGAGAAUCUUCGGCAAUGGGCGCAAGCCUGACCGAGCGACGCCGCGUGGAGGACGAAGGCCUUCGGGUUGUAAACUCCUGUCGAGGGGGAGGAAGGCGCAAGCUUGACCGAUCCCUGGAGGAAGCACGGGCUAAGUUCGUGCCAGCAGCCGCAGUAAUAC